GUCCUAGCCCUAAACGAUCAGGACUUGGGGUGCAUCCCGACGGGGUGCGUCCCGUAGCUAACGCGUUAAGUCCUGCGCCUGGGGAGUACGGUCGCAAGACUGAAACUCAAAGGAAUUGACGGGGGCCCGCACAAGCGGUGGAACAUGUGGUUCAAUUCGACGCAACGCGAAGAACCUUACCUGGGCUUGAACCGCUACUGACCAGUGGUGGAAACAUCGCCUUCUCGCAAGAGACAGUAGUAGAGGUGCUGCAUGGCUGUCGU
rnacentral:rRNA from 1 species